UUGAAUAGGGAUUACAAUGCAUGUUUUUGAAAGAAAAACAUUUUUAGGUAGCUGUUUACUUGUAUAUUAGACAAUAUCAGAGAUGACUGCAGUUGUAUUGCAAAUGAUAUAUUAAUUUCUCAUCUUUAAAUGGCUUUUGACAUCUGCUGCUGAUUGGAGGAGAUUUUCUGAAGUGUUAUAUCUCUUAAGUGAGUAGGCUGAAGUUUUCUGAAAGCAUAUAUUACUGAUGCAGGCCUCAUUUACUGAGUUCAAUCCUUCUAUCUGUGAUAGUUAGUGUUGCUAGCCAAAAAUAAUUGAUCCUUGAACUGCAUCUUUACAGUCGGUAGAUAAGCAUGAUAACCUGUUGGAUUGCCCAUGAGAACUUUUGUUGUAAAUUCUUUCCCAUCCUUUUCUCCUGUCCUAUCUGUAAGUGUGACGGGAGGAAGAGGAGGGGGGCGGGGCGCGGGGGUGUUUGGGUGGAACUUGAUCAAAAAAUCUGGCAACUUAUUAAUUAA
rnacentral:misc_RNA from 1 species